rnacentral:rRNA from 1 species
UACGGAGGGUGCAAGCGUUAUCCGGAUUUACUGGGUUUAAAGGGUGCGUAGGUGGGUGAAUAAGUCAGCGGUGAAAUCUCCGGGCUUAACUCGGAAACUGCCAUUGAUACUAUUUGUCUUGAAUAUCCUGGAGGUGAGCGGAAUAUGUCAUGUAGCGGUGAAAUGCUUAGAUAUGACAUAGAACACCUAUUGCGAAGGCAGCUCACUACGGGAUUAUUGACACUGAGGCACGAAAAGCGUGGGGAUCAAACAGG